CGCGAUUUUCUUCCUCUCCUCGGCUCUCUCUGCAACUCCGGCCAUCUCCCUCUUCCGGCCACCUCGGAGCGAACAAGCAGCACCGGUCGACUCCUCUACCCCUACCCAACCUCCCCACGGCGGUAACUCACGGCGACUUGGCCGGAAAAUGACGCAUCGGGUCCUUGAAGUUUCACUGUAGCAGAGUGGUCAACACCGAUAUCUUCCUUUUCCGGCCGUCUCCGGCCACCAAACCAGCGUCGAAGGAGCGGUUUUUCCCAAGGAUCAUGUUGCCCCUAGCCUUGAGCCACGAUUUGCAGUGUAGAGGAAGAAUCGACGAUUGGAAGAUUACGGUCACUAUUCACAGUUUGAGUUCAAGCUUCUCCUUAAU
rnacentral:lncRNA from 1 species